CCAAGUGCAGGAGGGUCUUGAGAACAGGGCCCAAAUAUUUAAGGGGCCCAAAAAUUUUUAAGUUUUCUUUAUAUAUACAUAGCCCAAAUUUCUUACUGAUUACAAGGCCCAAUCCCUUAACUGAUUUCAGGCCCAACCUUUGUCAAAUAUCUAAUUGCCGCUGGAGAAAUCAAACGUCGCGGUUCUUGAUCUUUAGUUCUGCACUAGGGAUUUCAGAUAUCUGAUCGAACAACCAGCCAGCCAGAGGCCCAGAAUCCAGAUUGCAUUAACACGGAAUCGCAUGUCAGCAUCUGAUAAUACUAUAAUAGUCAGCAUCAUAAUCAAUUAAUCAUUCUCGCAAUCUCGCAGAGUCGCAGAGGUGCAGGAAAUCAAUCGCUGCAGCCUGCAGGUGCUGAGGUGCAGGAUUUCAGGAAAUCAAUCGUCGAGACUCGAGAUUUUACAGUUUAGACUGAUAUAGACUGCAGGAAAUCAAACGUCGAGUGAUCGAGUCGAGAAACUAUGCCUCCCGUUCCUAAAUACAAACACCUAUCCGGCCAUUGGCAGAAAGAAGUUUCUCAAAGUUGAAGUUGUUGAAGACUUAUUUACGUUCUACAAUGUCACAAGAAAGGCUAAACGGGUUGGCGACAAUAUCUAUUGAAAGUGAAAUGUUAGAUACUAUGGAUUACAAGGAGUUGAUCGAGAGCUUUGCUUCAAAAAACGCUAGGAGAACCACACUGUUUGGUUAGCAAGUAAGUUCGAUACUUUGAUCAUUUUUGCUACACUAUUUUUGUUAAUUUGUUUUAUAUAUUUCAU